rnacentral:lncRNA from 1 species
AGAAUACUAAAGGAUCAAAUGAUUAACAUUGACAAUAUAAUACAAUUAGUUAAAUUAUUUAUAUAAAUCCAAAUUUAAAAAACUCUAACAAAACUAACUAAGUUGCUAAUACAAUUCAAAGUGAAAAAAUAAUCUCAAAUUAUGCUUCAUUUUUUUUCUUUCUACCAUCUUCCUUUGCAAAGAGAUCCGCCAUCAUGUUUUAAUCCAUAUGUCAAACUCUUAUUAUAUGCAACCAACUGAAUCAUAUACCAAUCAAAAAUAAUUAUGUCAAAAGAAAGAACGAAAUAAAACUAUAUUUAAUGUAUUUGUAUAUUAUCUUUUCAAUAGUACUAACAAUACUAAAUAAUAAAUAUUUCUAGAAAUCUAACAAAUAUUAUAUCAAACUAUAUUAUAUCUGGAAACCUAACUAUUAGAAAGAGUAAUUGCAUACAGACAACACAUUAUUAAGAAUUACAGUGAUUUUUUUUAAUUUACUUAUUUGAUAAGUUAUAAUACAAACAUAAAAAAUAUAUAUUAAGAAAACAUGUCUUAGUACAUAAAAUAAAAAGAAAGACUUUAGAAUGAAAUAUAUCCUACCUUCAUAUACUUUUUUUGUUACAUGUUAGUUAAUUUACAAAAAAGUAUGAUGAAGAAGAGAAAUUAUAACUUAAUAUGUGGAUUUUCAUGAAAAUAAAUAUGAAUUUAUGUAGACAAAAUAAAGGAAAUAAAAAAAUAAGAACUUGAAAAUGAUAUAUUUAUUAACAUCAUGUACUUUUUUUUUCUUACAUGUUAGUUUCAUUCACAAACCAAAUACUAAUUUAUAUAGACAAAAAUAGAGAAAAUAAAAAAUACAAUUUUGCAAUGAAAUAUUUCUUACCUUCAUAUACUUCUUUUUUUGUUACAAACCAAACCUAUAUGAUGAAAAGAGAAAGGAUACUUGUGAAUGUGAAUCUUCAUAAACUAAUAUGAAUUUAUAGGCAAACUAAAGGAAUACCAUAAGACAUCUAUGAGAGUUAUUAAUAUUAUUAAAAGUAAAAAUUAAAGAUGGGCAACUCAUGAUUAGUAACUCAUAGUGAAUAAAUUUAAAAAUAAAAAUGAAAAUACUUAAAAUAUAAAAAAAGAAAUUAUUAUGAUUUCAUGAUUAGAAGGGAGAUAAACAAAUAGAGAAAAAUAUAGAGAAUUAUAAAUGUUUCUACAUAAAUAAAAUAUUUAUUUGUAUACAUAAAGUCAUAUAUUUUUAUAAUAAAAUAAUUAAUUUAAAUUUAAAAAGUUAAAAAUAAAUAAAUUAUAUUUCUCCUUUUAUUAUAAGUGAGAUAAAUAAAUAAAAAAGAUGAAGAGGUUUAGUUAUAAAUGAUUCUCCAUUAAUAAAAUAUUUAUUUGUAAUAAAUUUUAGUAAUUCUUUUUAUGAUAUAAUAAUUAAUUUAUUUUUAAAAAAAGCAAAAAAAAGAGAAUAUAAAUGCAAAUGGAGGCCAUAGAGAGGUGCCACAUCACCUUGUCUAUGGUCCUCAUUUAUAUAUAUAUAUUGAUUUGGCAGCCCUUUUUUAAAAAAAAUAGAAUAGUAAAGACACUUCUUUUUGAACCACUUUAAACUCACUACAUUUAUUAAGUGUUGUUCAAACUUGACAAUGUCUUUGGAAAAAAAAAAGAUAUUAUGUUUUAAACUCGAAUUUUUCAACUUUUUCCCAAGAGGUAUCGCCUUGUUAGUCAAUGAGCAAAUUUCUAUUUUUAAUUACCCUCUUUAGUCAUGGAUUUGUUUAAAUUUAUCUAAAGAAAUUAACUCUUUUCUUUAAAAUCUUUUUCAAUUUUAAAAAUUUUGUAAAAAAAAGCUUUAAAAUAAAAUGUUUUCCAAAUCUUUCUACCUAGUGCCACGUAAGUCAGAAAGGGAUAAAAAAUUACUUAUAAAAUAAGCUCAGUGGUAGUAAGAUCUUACUUAUAAGUGUGUCUCUGAGAUUUCGGGCAUAGGUUGAGAGGUAGUUGUGCAUUAUUCUUAAAAUUAAUUAACCUAAGUUUGGCCGGUUAACCGUUUCAAUACGGAUCUUAAAGGAUGUCUAACACCUUCCCUUUAGGAUUAAUUGAAGGCAUAAUACACAUAUUAGACCCUAAACUUAGUUUCAAAGUUUAACUUUGAUCUCCAACUUUCAUAACACACAAACAAGCACUUUAACUAUCCAACUUUAAAAUAAAUAAACACAUGAGUACUACAUGGCAAAAUACACGUAGGACACUAAGUAGGAUAAAAAAUUACAUGGAGGAUGACAUGUAGAACAUGUGUGUAUUUAUUCAACUUUAUACGAGUUAAAGUGUCUAUUUGUGCACACCCAAAGUUAAAGGGCAUAAAUGUAAUUUGAAGCCAAGUUAAAUGACAUAUUUAUGUAUUAUCGCUUAAUUGAACCCUUACAUUAGAAUUUCUAAUUGGUUAGAAGAUCUUAAGUUAAGUUAAUUUAGAAAUCACCAAUAUGUUGUACACUAAUUUGACCUCAGUUAAAUGGGAAUAACAGUGACAAUCAACAAAUUUUAUCGUAAAUAUAUCUCAUGUCACCCCCAACCUUUUUUGGGAACCCAUCUUUACGAGUAGCGGAGGCGCAACAAGAAAGUAUACCGCGCAUUCAAAAAUUCUAAGAUGGAAAAUAUUUUAUUCAUGACCAAAAACCAACUGUAACCAAGAGGAUUCAUAAUAACUAGUUGUCCUUAUGUGCACCAAUGUUGUAUAUAUGUUAGUUGAAAUGUAAUGUCUUUAAUUUAAAAUAUCCCUACACUAAGGACAAUUAGUGGCACAGCCAGAAAUUUUACGAAGAGUCCAAGCAUUAAGUAAGUACUUUUAUAUUUUUUGAUAAAUGAGUAUACUAAUUUUUUUAAAAUCAAAAUGCAUAAUAUGUAGUUCUAAUGAGUCAUAUUUUAUUUUGAUAUGAAAAGAACGGAGGAUGCAAAAGAACAAUAAAAAAAGAGAGAGAGAGAAAAGAGAGUUUAGUUGAGAAAAAAAUACUUUUAGGUUUUAACCUUUCAAUAAUCUAAACUAUAAAAAUAAAGAAGAUAAAGAUGAAUCAAACUAGAUUUUAAAAAAUGGUGGAACAUUUUUAAUUUUGGUUUUGGUUGAUUUAUAUAUAUAUUUUUUUUUUACAAUUUUUCUUACAAAAUAUAAUAUAAUAUAAAAGAACGUCAAAAAAAAACAUUUGAUGAAUGUACACUAUGCUUUCAUGGAGCAAUUUUGAUCGCUGAGCUAUCUUAUCACUUUAUUUUUAGGGUGUCUAAAAUAUAAUAAUUAUUUAUUUUACAAUACAUUUUUUUAAUAUACACUAUAUAAAUUUUUGACGAAAAGUGUCCGCUUGACCCUUCAACCCCCAACCCCCACCCCUCAGAUACAUUAUAGCUCCUCCCCCUGAGGGCAACAACCAAUUUCUAUCAACCUUUAUUUAUCACUUAAGUGUAUGACUCUUAUUUGUAAAGAUAAUUAGGAGAAUUGGAAGAGUUACAUGGAGCAAUAAAAAUGUAGGUUAAUUAAUUAAGAGGAAUAAAUACAUGAAAUGAAAGAUUCAAAAUGUAAAUAAAAAGAGCUAUAAAAAUCAAAAAGGAUUUCCUCAUUUCUAAAUCACCAUUUUCAUGAGUUAUGGCAUCAAUUGAAUCAAUCAACUUUCAUUUUUUUUUUUAAAAAAAAGUAACUAUUAUAAUGGAUAGUAAGUACCUUGAUUUCAAUUAGCGAAUCUACUUCACUAUCUCCUCUUUUUAGUUAGAUUUUAAAGAAAUUAUCACAAAUUUAAUUUAUUGAAAUGUACAAUUUUUAUAUAUGAGUAUACAUAUUGUCAAUCUUAGCAUGUAGUACAUUUAAUUGUAGCUGACCAAUAUUUUGUAUUGUACUUUUAGCAAUUGUUUUUACUUUACGGAAGGAAACAAUUGUUAUGUAUUUAUUUAUUUAUUUAUUUUGAAUAAUUAGAAGAUAUCUGAAUGUUUAACAUAAAGAAAAAUUGAAAGACCACUUAUCAUAGACAGGAGGAAUAAUUACUUUUGGCACAAAUUCUAAAUUGGGGAAAAUGUUGUGGUAGAUAGCAUGGUAGUUGAAUUUCAUAGAUAAAUCUAAAUUUGAGGACAAUUUCCAAAAUUUUCAUCCAAAAAAUUAAACUUUUCAAAAUACUGUCUAGAAGUUUCAAUUGCUCUUGAUUGGAGAAGUAUAUUUGAAUAUUGCUCAUAAGCACGUAUGUGAAUAUUAUACUAUACUAUCAUAUAUCAUAUAUACUAUUAUAAAUGGUAACAUGUUAACUUCAAAGUUAGAUUACAAUUUUAUUCUUUUAUUGUAUAUAAAUAUUAUUAAUAAAAAUUAAAUAAAAAUUAUAUGAUAUUAAUUCAUUAUAUUUUCAUAUAAAAUUUUCGCUAAAUAUAUUAUUUGUUUUCAUUCUAAAAUGAAGUUUCCUGAAUGAAAUAUUUUGUAACAACAUAAGAGAGCAAAUAAUAUCCUUUAGAAACUCAACUGUCCUUAAGAACAAAAGUAUCCUUUGAAUUACCAUAUCUUAAUAUGACGCAUAUAUAUAUUUUAGUCAGAAAUUUUGCAUAUCCCAUCUUUAUCCAGUCGAAUUCUAAUAGAUGUUAUGUAUAUCCUUAAUUUUAAAUGACUUUUAUAAUUAUUUUAUUUAGAAAAUAUUUAAACUCUCAACUAAUUUAGAAUCGUUACUCAAUUUUUAAUGAAAAAUGAAGAAAAUUUAUUCUCAAAGGAUAAAAACAGUAAAUCGAUUGAAAAUAUUUAAGGGGUUAUUAUUAGCACUUCGAGAAGGGUUUUAAAGCACUCAAAAUGCCCUCUAAUACACGAUUAUCCAAUAAUUAAUUUAUUUGACUAAAAUAAUUUUAACUUAGUUUGAAUUUUAAAAAUAGAACUAUUUUUUGUUCCAUUUUAAAAAGGGGGAAAGGAAAACACUGACCUACUAUCUGAGUGAGAUAUUAAUUUGUAAAAUUAUUAGUAUUUUUUAAUUCCAUUUAGAGAUGAUCGAUUUAGUUAAGUUAGAACACAGUGGUGUUUUGCGGGGAUUUAAAUUUUUCGACCUAAAGACUGACGACAAAUACUAACAAGUAAACAGACAGCAAAAUUAAAUGGAAAUGUGCCUAAAAUACCCUUAAAGUAUUGAAAAUGGUACAAAAUUACCCUUCGUCCACUUAUUGGCUCCAAAUUACCCUUGUUAUCCACCUUUGGAUUCAAAAUUGAUCACUCAUUUAAUUGUUUUAAAAUUAAAAUCUUUAAAUAUUUUUUAAAAUACUUGACGUUCAACUAUUGGUUAUAAUUUUAUUUAUUAAUAUAAUUUAUGAACAAACUCACUACCUACUCAUUUCUAAUUAAACCUCACUCAAUUAUAAAUCCAAUUAUAAUAUCAAAAUCGCAUAAAGACUACUAAAACACGAUGAAAUUAUAGAUUGCUUAAAAUUACAUCCAAAAUUAUUCGAGUCUGAAUCGAAGCCUCAAUUAAAUUUAGAAUGAGCCGCUUAUUUAGGAGGAGACUUUCAAUAGAAUUCUCUUUCAAGAUUAAUUUAGAAAUUUAUUAUUAAAGAUAAAGAAGUAAUAUAUCUCGAAUUAAUUCAUGCACUAUCUAAAAAUAUAAUUUCAUAAAUUUUUAUGAUUUGUUUUAAAACUUUUAAUAUAUUAUUUUUAAAAAGAGUUACUUAUGAAGUAACAUCACAUAAUUGAAACGUAAGAAUAAUUAAGAUAAACGUAAUUAAACUUUCAAGUUUACCCAUAAUUUUUAUUUAGACACUUGAAUAUAUGAUAAUUUACUACUAUAGAUAUUUUCGCCUCAAAUUUUUAAAAACACUCAAUUUGAUGUAGUUUUUCUGUUGUUGCAUUAAUAAUGUGAUUAGUUUAUUAAUUUGGAGGGAUUUAAUUAGUAAUAGGUGGGUAGUGAAUUGAUUUAUAAUAAAUUAUACUAAUAAGUUAAAUUAUAACAAAUAGUUGAGCGCCGCGUAUUUAAAAUAAUAUUUAAAUAAUUUAAAUAUAAAACCGUUAAAUAAGUGGUCAAUUUUGAACCAAAAGGUGGAUGACAAGGGUAUUUUGGACCCAAUAGGUGGGUGUGAAGGAUAUUUUGGAGCUAAUAGGUGGAUGAGGGAUAAUUUUAUACCAUUUUCAAUACUUUAAGGAUAUUUUAGGCCCUUUUCCGAAAAUUAAAUGAGGAAAAGAGAGUUGUGCCCAAAUCUGAUUUUUGUCCACUUGGACCAAUAUUUGAGCCCAUUUUAUUUUGGGCCUUAGGCCCACUCGAGAUGCAUCUAUUCUUCUUUGGGAAUUUAUAACUUGUCCUAAAAUUCUAUCAUAAUAAUAAUAAUAAUAAAUAAAUAAGGACUUAGGCUCAAAACAACAAAAUACAAAUCUUAAAAAAGGAAUGGGCUUUUGGCCCACUCUUUUCAACUCUGCUUUGCAACACUUUGUUGUGUAUACAAUGUAUACAAUUUUUGCGACCUAUACCCCCUUUUUCCAGAACUGAUUUUUCAACUUUUAAAGGAGAGGCUGACUCGAAAUAAGAAAUUGGGUUUCCGUAACCCAAUAGAAAAAUUCAAGGAUAGGAUCCAUGAGAACCCCGAUAUAUUUCACAUGCCAACAAAAGAGUAAUAAAAUGAGUAACAAAUCGAUUUAAUGUAAAGAAGGAUCGAAUAAAUUGAAUCGAUAUACUAAAACACUUCACUUUUGAACAUAGUAAAGACAAAGAGAUAUCACAGAGAGGGUCUCAAAUCCAUUUUUAUAGCAUUUCAGUGACCUUAAAUAACUAAUACAAUAAUCAGAAAAGAAAUUUCCAAUUUGGGAUAUUUAAGCAUGAUCAACUUGUGAUCACAUAGCUUUGAAUAAGCCAAUGUACCCAAUAAUAACUCAAUAGCAAAGAUUAAAAGGAGCAAAUACAACAGUAACAGCAAACAAUGGACAAUAAAUGGGCCAAAACAUGUUUCUUAACAUAUAACUGCACUUUAAAAAAAUGGAAAUGCAAAACUCGAAAAUACCAGUAUCCUAGAGAACAAACGGUGGUAGACAGACACUCAAUUCUUCGCCACAGAAUGAUACACAUGAAUAAUCUUUCUCUGCGACCAACAACAGUAAAUUCUAAAUAAGGAAGAAUGCAUACCUAUAAUCUAACAUGCUUAAGAAAAUGACAAACAGGAUAUAUGAUAUUAAGCGGAAGUUAAAGCUUUGCACAUGUACUAAUCAACAAAAAGGACAAAAGUAAUACAACAAGACAUUAUUUUGUAGGCAUGAAAGAGGGAUGGACUUCCAAAUUUUUACAAUUUCAAAGAGGAAGAAAGGUAUGAACAUGCUUUAAUAGUUAUUAAGAUAGUUAUUUAAAUAACACCAACAAAAAUUGACCCGUGCUUUAGUAAGUAAAGGAGACAAAUGUAUUCUCGACUACAACUAGAAUUUAAAAAUAUCGGGUGACGAAUGAACAAAGGGACGAACAAAAGAAAUUUCCAUUCAAAACUAGACAGAUUUGCAGGCAUGCUAUUUUGAAGUACAUCUGAAAUAACUAAAUGUGUGACUGCAUAAUGCACCCUAUACUCUCAAAACAUAUGACGGAAGCACGAAUAUUACGACAAUAAAAAAAACAAGCAUAAAACGAUGACAAACCAGUAAACAAACUAUACUUGAAGCAAAUACAGUGACCACAAGUUCAGGAUGAGUGAAAAAGAGACAGAGAAAACAUGCUCUAAUCAGUCAUUUAAACGACUUGAAAACAAAACAUAAGCCACCUCAAAUCCAACAUAUUGAACAUGAAAUCUAAAUAAAAGGGGUUAGAGGUGUUUACCUUUUUGUGGGCAGCGAACUGGGUUGGAGCGAAGAGAUGGACAGCAACUACUACACCGAAGAACGACUCCAAAAAAACUUGAACCAACAAAGCAAAACAGAUGACAGAAAGACCGAAUCGGAAAAUUUUCUAGGAAACCUUUGGCUUAAAUAUAUCUUUUUCUUUCAUCACUUAGCUAACUUCCUGUAUUUUCACCAACACAAAAUUCUUCAACACCCCUUUUUUUUCAAUCAAAAAUCUCCAACCCCUCUAAUGGAGCAAAACAGGCGCUUAUAUAGAGAGGGAAAAUCUAGAGUUGAUUUUUGGGGAAAGUGAAUGAAAUUAGAUGAGAAAAGAUCCAUUUCAAUUUCGAAUUUUAAAAUCUUUCACCAUUUUAGGAUGAACACCUUUUCUUUGAGAAUUCAACCCGCUUCAAAAGAGGAAAGGGGGGGAGGGGGUUGAACGGCUGGAAUCAAUUCCAUCGUCUUUAGGGCGCGACGUGGGUCAAUCUCCCAGCCCCCAAGGACGAAUACGUGAACUGCAGACUGAACAAGUCGACUGACCGCUGCUGUAUGACUUCUGGCAAAGCAAAAAGGAGAAAGCGAGUAUAAAAUUUGACAUCGUAUAAUCUGUCGUGUAUUUCUUGUGACCGUUGCUACUACUUGUUCUCGCAUGAGGAGAGGUGAGGCGCGUAUAAGGUGGUUUUGGAGUCGUUCACGCGCUGUUUUUGUUGGUUCGUUUUGACGCUGUGAAAAUAUCGUGUAUCGAUGUCGUUGGGAAGCUGCUAAACGUGUUAGGUUCUCUUUUGUGAAGAGAAAAAGAAUUUGGGCUGGGUCGAGGUUGGAGUGGGCUGGAAAUUGUUGGGAUUGAAAAAAG